CGGGGCGUAGCGCAGCCUGGUAGCGCACCUGUCUGGGGGACAGGGGGUCGCAGGUUCAAAUCCUGUCGUCCCGACCA
rnacentral:tRNA from 2 species